rnacentral:rRNA from 1 species
GAUGAACGCUAGCGGCAGGCUUAAUACAUGCAAGUCGAGGGGCAGCAUGAUUGUAGCAAUACAAUUGAUGGCGACCGGCAAACGGGUGCGGAACACGUACACAACCUUCCAAUAAGUGGGGAAUAGCCCAGAGAAAUUUGGAUUAAUACCCCGUAACAUAACGAUGUGGCAUCACAUUGUUAUUAUAGAUUUUCCGCUUAUUGAUGGGUGUGCGGCUGAUUAGAUAGUUGGCGGGGUAACGGCCCACCAAGUCUACGAUCAGUAGCUGAUGUGAGAGCAAGAUCAGCCACACGGGCACUGAGACACGGGCCCGACUCCUACGGGAGGCAGCAGUAAGGAAUAUUGGACAAUGGACGCAAGUCUGAUCCAGCCAUGCCGCGUGAAGGAUUAAGGUCCUCUGGAUUGUAAACUUCUUUUAUAAGGGACGAAAAAAGGCUUUUCUAAGUCGUCUGACGGUACCUUAUGAAUAAGCACCGGCUAACUCCGUGCCAGCCGCCGCCGUAACAC